rnacentral:rRNA from 1 species
ACCGCCCGUCACACCAUGAAAGCCUACUGUACCAGAAGUCAUCGUGCUAACCGUAAGGGAGUAGAUGCCUAAGGUAUGGUCGGUGAUUGGGGUG